AUCAGCGGUGAUAGCACGCUGAAUGCAAUGGUUCCCAAUGGAACAUUAAAGUUAAAAAACGUUGCGUGUGGUUAGUAUCCGGAUGGGUGACCAUCUGGUAAAGUGGUAGUUUAGCAAGAU
rnacentral:rRNA from 1 species